rnacentral:ncRNA from 1 species
GGCAUCGGCGCGCGGUUCCGCAGGGGAGGGUCCCCGGGGAGGUCCCCGGGCCGGCGCCCCGCCUCGGCUGGCGCCUAGCAGCCCGCUUAGAACUGGUGCGGACCAGGGGAAUCCGACUGUUUCAUUAAAACAAAGCAUUGCGAAGGCCCGCGCCGGGCGUUGACGCGAUGUGAUUUCUGCCCCGUGCUCUGAAUGUCAAAGUGAAGAAAUUCAAUGAAGCGCGGGUAAACGGCGGGGGAAACUAUAACUCUCUUAAGAAGCGAUACACAUAGUUACUAACUGGGCAGAGCUGCAGAGGUCACACCUCCACGUGGUCCCGCUGGAUGCCCUUUG